rnacentral:rRNA from 1 species
UACGAAGGGGGCUAGCGUUGCUCGGAAUCACUGGGCGUAAAGCGCACGUAGGCGGAUUCCUAAGUCAGGGGUGAAAUCCUGGAGCUCAACUCCAGAACUGCCUUUGAUACUGGAGAGCUUGAGUCCGGAAGAGGUGAGUGGAACUCCGAGUGUAGAGGUGAAAUUCGUAGAUAUUCGGAAGAACACCAGUGGCGAAGGCGGCUCACUGGUCCGGUACUGACGCUGAGGUGCGAAAGCGUGGGGAUCAAACAGG